GAGUUUGAUUAUGGCUCAGGAUGAACGCUGGCGGUAUGCCUUAUACAUGCAAGUCGUACGAGAGUUUUUAGCUCAAGUGGCGGACGGGUGAGUAACACGUAAGAAUUUGCCUUUAGGAGGGGGACAACAACUGGAAACGGUUGCUAAUACCCCAUAUGCUCUCGAGUGAAAUGGUUUUUCCGCCUAAAGAGAAGCUUGCGGCUGAUUAGCUUGUUGGUAGAGUAAUAGCCUACCAAGGCGACGAUCAGUAUCUGGUUUGAGAGGACGAUCAGACACACUGGAACUGAGACACGGUCCAGACUCCUACGGGAGGCAGCAGUAGGGAAUUUUCCGCAAUGGGCGAAAGCCUGACGGAGCAAUACCGCGUGAGGGAUGACUGCCUAUGGGUUGUAAACCUCUUUUUUCAGGGAGGAAUAAAUGACGUGUACCUGAAGAAUAAGCAUCGGCUAACUCCGUGCCAGCAGCCGCGGUAAGACGGAGGAUGCAAGUGUUAUCCGGAAUCGCUGGGCGUAAAGCGUCUGUAGGUGGUCAAAUAAGUCAACUGUUAAAUCUUGGGGCUCAACCUCAAAAUCGCAGUCGAAACUAUUAGGCUAGAGUAUAGUAGAGGUAAAGGGAAUUUCCAGUGGAGCGGUGAAAUGCGUAGAGAUUGGAAAGAACACCGAUGGCGAAGGCACUUUACUGGGCUAUUACUGACACUCAGAGACGAAAGCUAGGGUAGCAAAUGGGAUUAGAUACCCCAGUAGUCCUAGCCGUAAACAAUGGAUACUAGGUGUUGAACAGAUCGAUCUGUGCAGUACUAAAGCUAACGCGUUAAGUAUCCCGCCUGGGAAGUAUGCACGCAAGUGUGAAACUCAAAGGAAUUGACGGGGGCCCGCACAAGCGGUGGAGCAUGUGGUUUAAUUCGAUGCAACGCGAAGAACCUUACCAGGGUUUGACAUGAUACGAAUUUCUUUGAAAAAAGAAAGUGCCUUUUGGAAC
rnacentral:rRNA from 1 species